rnacentral:rRNA from 1 species
AGAGUUUGAUUAUGGCUCAGAUUGAACGCUGGCGGCAGGCUUAACACAUGCAAGUCGAGCGGUAACAGGGGGUGCUUGCACCCCGCUGACGAGCGGCGGACGGGUGAGUAAUGCUUAGGAAUCUGCCCAGUAGUGGGGGAUAGCCCGGGGAAACCCGGAUUAAUACCGCAUACGUCCUACGGGAGAAAGCAGGGGAUCUUCGGACCUUGCGCUACUGGAUGAGCCUAAGUCGGAUUAGCUAGUUGGUGGGGUAAAGGCCUACCAAGGCGACGAUCCGUAGCUGGUCUGAGAGGAUGAUCAGCCACAUCGGGACUGAGACACGGCCCGAACUCCUACGGGAGGCAGCAGUGGGGAAUAUUGGACAAUGGGCGCAAGCCUGAUCCAGCCAUGCCGCGUGAGUGAUGAAGGCCUUAGGGUUGUAAAGCUCUUUCGCCGGUGAAGAUAAUGACGGUAACCGGUAAAGAAGCCCCGGCUAACUUCGUGCCAGCAGCCGCGGUAAUACGAAGGGUGCAAGCGUUAAUCGGAAUUACUGGGCGUAAAGCGCGCGUAGGUGGUUAGGUAAGCGAGAUGUGAAAGCCCCGGGCUUAACCUGGGAACGGCAUUUCGAACUGUCUGACUAGAGUGUGGUAGAGGGUAGUGGAAUUUCCUGUGUAGCGGUGAAAUGCGUAGAUAUAGGAAGGAACACCAGUGGCGAAGGCGGCUACCUGGACCAACACUGACACUGAGGUGCGAAAGCGUGGGGAGCAAACAGGAUUAGAUACCCUGGUAGUC